CCGCUCCACUGCGCCCCCGCGAGGCCGCGACCAGGAUCCUCUGCACCGCCUUUACCCGUUCCGUUGCAUAAUUCGCAAUCGCAGGUCACCGCACACCCCUCACCGGUAACAACCAAGCUAGCUCCUCGAGCCUUUCCAGGAGGCAUGUGACUCGCAGCAGUUUGAGGCUUUGAGCUUCUUUACUCCGAGCUCUCCUGGUGUCCGUGCCUUACUGCCUUUUGAUGCUGAGAGAUCGGUGAAGAGAAGGAAGGGGAUGGAGUUCAAGAACGGCGGGUCGUCGUCGCAGCGCCGGCCGGCGAUGGCGGAGGCGCCGAUGGCGAGGCAGGGGUCGGUCUACUCGCUGACGUUCGAUGAGUUCCAGAGCGCGCUCGGCGGGGCCGGCGCCGGCGGUGGUGGCGGCAUCGGGAAGGACUUCGGCUCCAUGAACAUGGACGAGCUGCUUCGGAGCAUCUGGACCGCGGAGGAGACCCAGGCCAUAGCAUCCGCCUCCGCCGCGGGCGCGGGUGCGGGGGCGCCGCCCACGCCGCUGCAGCGCCAGGGCUCAUCGCUCACGCUUCCCCGGACGCUCAGCGCCAAGACGGUCGACGAGGUGUGGCGCAACCUCGUGCGGGACGAGCCGCGGGAGGGGGCGCACGGCGGCGGGCAGCAGCCCCAGCGGCAGUCAACGCUCGGGGAGAUGACUCUGGAGGAGUUCUUGGUCAGAGCCGGCGUGGUCAGGGAGAACCCCGCCCCUGCGCCGCCGUCCCUGCUGCCGCCGCGGCCGGUCCCUGUUGUCCCUAAAAGCUCUGCCUUCUUCGGGAACUUCCCGGGUGCCGACGACGCCGCCGCCGCUGCAGCGCUGGGGUUUGCGCCUGUCGGAAUGGGGAAUCUGGCCAUGGGCAAUGGGCUGAUGCCCAGGGCUGCGGGCAUGGUGGGCAGCGCCAUGGCUGUGCAAACAGCGGUGAACCAGCUUGAGUCUUGCGGGACGGGCAACAGCGACAUGUCGUCGCCGACGGAGCCACAGCCGUAUUCGUUUGAGGGGACGAUUUGGGGAACUUGGAAUGGCGGCGGAGUGGAGAAAGUGGUGGAGAGGAGGCAGAGGAGGAUGAUCAAGAACAGGGAGUCCGCAGCCAGGUCCCGAGCGCGCAAACAGGCUUAUACAAUGGAGUUGGAAGCUGAAGUUCAGAAACUCAAGGAACUGAAUAAGGAACUAGAGAGGAAACAGGUGGUUUUUCUCUAAACACUGCAGUUGCAGAUGUUAAAUGUGCUACUUUGGUACAUUGCCUCUUGAGGAUCAUUUGUUCUCUUAGCCGUUUUGAAACUGGCUGAGAUGAAGGGAACACAGAAGGACGAGUUACCAGAAAUGUUGAAGGACCCAUUUGGCCGGAAGAAACGGCUGUGCCUGCGAAGAACAUUGACUGGCCCGUGGUGAUGAUCGAAUAGCAGGUGACUUGCCACAUUCCUGCAACGGCGCUUGUGUUCUGUACAUAAUUUCUCUGCUGUAAACCAGUGAUGAGCAGAGUCAGACAUCGUUGUGCUGCUAGUUUCCUUCUGCCGCUUGUGUAGUACUAGUAGCAUCAAGAACCAGCAUGUGUACGUGUAGUCCGUGUAGUAGAGAAGUGAAGCCGUAAGAAUAGCUUCAUCAUGUAGAGCUUGGAUGACUUGAGAGGUCGAUGGAUGUAAGUAGAUUAAUGUGCUCCAAGAAACCAAGAAACAUCUUGCACC